GGUUACACGGCCCAAUGGCAAGGCGCUUGACUACAUGUAUGAAUCAAGAAAUUCCAGGUUCGACCCCUGGUGUGAUCA